ensembl:lncRNA
CCCAGUUUCUACUCAGUUUGAAGGGACCUGAACAAGGGCAGGGUGUUGUGACUGACUGUAAAGGGUACACAACUGCUCUAAUCACAAAACCAUGCUAAUGUUUCUAGCAGCAGUGAAGCACAGUGACUUCUGAUAAAGGACAAAGAGGAUGAUGCUCCAGAGUCAUCUCUGCAGCAGAUUUGGUGGGAAAGAUGGUUUGCCCAGGUGCUUGUGGGCAAAAAUAUCACCCCUUGAUUUUGGCUGCAUCGCCAAACUCAGCAACCCAAUAGACAAUCACCCAGCUAUACAAGUUGCUCAAUUUUAACCAUCAGUGGAAUGGUUAGAAGGGGUUGGGAAUUUUCUCUUUCUUUGAUUGAAAAAGCUGGCUUGAGGAAACCGAAACUUUUUUUUUUUUUUUUUUUUGCAGGCAGAGGUAUCGAUUUCAAAGAAACUUUCAUCAGAAGAGAUUUGUCAGCCGUCGGAUGGAAUUUCUGGUCGAGACCAGAAGGAGAUGGCAAAGUUGGAGUAUCAGGUUGUAUAAGGCCAGAGCUGGUGGCUUGGAUGCACCUUGGCUCAGGCAGGAGGGAAGAUGAGCUCCAAGGAUUUGCUUCCCUGAGGGAGAUGGUGUUUGGCCCGGUGGGAGAAGAGUGAGAAGUAGUGACCUGAAGAACGGUCCUGGUCAGGAGUUGAAAAUAAGGAAAAGAGAGGAAGAAAAACCACAAAGGAAGAGGCAUAUGAAAAGUAAAAAAAUAGGGAGCUGGAGGUGAACCGAAACACUCAGAGGUAAUUUGCCUUAAGGAGCAAGAACCCUUGAGACCUGUGUGUAGACUUUGGAAAAAAGACCCUGUGAACAAUAGUAAAGGCUAUGAACGUACCAUCCCUCUGACAGCUAUGUAAACCUUAAG